rnacentral:rRNA from 1 species
UACGGAGGGAGCUAGCGUUGUUCGGAAUUACUGGGCGUAAAGCGCACGUAGGCGGAUCUUUAAGUCAGGGGUGAAAUCCCGAGGCUCAACCUCGGAACUGCCUUUGAUACUGGGGAUAUCGAGUCCGGGAGAGGUGAGUGGAACUGCGAGUGUAGAGGUGAAAUUCGUAGAUAUUCGCAGGAACACCAGUGGCGAAGGCGGCUCACUGGCCCGGUACUGACGCUGAGGUGCGAAAGCGUGGGGAGCAAACAGG